rnacentral:rRNA from 1 species
GACGAACGCUGGCGGCGUGCCUAAUACAUGCAAGUCGAACGCUGAAGGAGGAGCUUGCUCUUCUGGAUGAGUUGCGAACGGGUGAGUAACGCGUAGGUAACCUGCCUGGUAGCGGGGGAUAACUAUUGGAAACGAUAGCUAAUACCGCAUAACAGUAGAUGUUGCAUGACAUUUACUUAAAAGGUGCAAUUGCAUCACUACCAGAUGGACCUGCGUUGUAUUAGCUAGUUGGUGGGGUAACGGCUCACCAAGGCGACGAUACAUAGCCGACCUGAGAGGGUGAUCGGCCACACUGGGACUGAGACACGGCCCAGACUCCUACGGGAGGCAGCAGUAGGGAAUCUUCGGCAAUGGACGGAAGUCUGACCGAGCAACGCCGCGUGAGUGAAGAAGGUUUUCGGAUCGUAAAGCUCUGUUGUAAGAGAAGGACGAGUGUGAGAGUGGAAAGUUCACACUGUGACGGUAUCUUACCAGAAAGGGACGGCUAACUACGUG